rnacentral:lncRNA from 1 species
GGAGUCAGAGAGACUAGAUAUGUAGAAGGGUGGCUUAUAUUUUCUUGUUGAUGGCUCCUACUGAACUCCCCUACGCUUUACCUAGAUUAGUAAUAUCCAUCUUCUAGAUUUUUUUAGAUAAUGGAAACAAAGUUUGACUUUGGCCUCAAACAAGGUUACGACCAAUUAUUACAACUGAAGGCAACAUAUUGCCUUGAUCCAUCAUACGACCUCACCAAAGAAUACCAACUACUAAAUCAAAGCUACUACAAAGUUAAACGUAACGAAGACCCCGUCCAAAAUUGCGAAAGAAGUGUAGUAGCACCAACUCCACAUGACGACAUGAAGACUUAAUUAAUUCUUGGUCCUCCCUUCUAGGCUGAAGCUGUGUACAGAAGCGGCACUAAUAAGUUGCCCUGAAGGUUACCUGCAAACAAGAUUUAGGAGACGAUUUAUUGAAAACCACAUCAUUCCUACUUAACCAAAUAGCCAACAAAUUGCCGAUGCAACGGUUAAUAGUAAGUUGUGUGAUAUGGGCAGCAGCCCACUCACCCAAACCCCAAAUAAAUCAUUAGCAUCCCGAGUAGCUCUCAACCCCGUACUUAUUUGUAACAAACGCCAAAUGAAAGACGCAUACAAACACCUGAAAAAACAGGUGUUUCACUGUCUCUAGUCUGCUACAAAAGUAACAGGUCUUAUACUCUUAUUACCGUUCCAAUUUCUCCUAGCCAGGUUAUCUUUUGUUAAAUUUAUACCUCUUUUUAGGUACCACAUAAAAAAUUUAUUUUCAAAUGAAUCUUAAGUUUCCAAAGGUCCUUGUUAUUCAUUCCCACCCCAUUGCCGAGAGUUGCCUUACCCACCAGAUUUCAAGGGGGGUGAAGCAAAGGAAGGCUUCCUCCAUGCCAAGAUAAUGCCGCCACUAUUAUUUCUGUAUGUGAAGGUGCAGUCGUAAGAGAUGCUCUUGAGUUGCAAAAUUUACCAUAGAUUUCAAAACUUUCAUAACUAGGAUGAAAAACAUAGGCGACAAGGGAUCCCCUUGGCAAAGGCCUCGAUGAUGAAGUAUACAGCUGCCAUCCAUCUUCUAGAUUAACCUCCACAAUCUAGAUUGAUGUAAACCUAUGUUGGACCAUACUAGGAUUAUUAGCUUCACUUUGCAAUAUGGAAGGUACACAUGAGCGAAGCUUAUAUCUAAUUUUCUGUUGAGUUUUUUUAUGUUAUGCAUCAUAGCUAUGUGAUACAACACCAACUUAUUGAUAUGCAGUUAGCGAAGCUUCCACAUGAUGAUAUGGAUAUAAUAAAUUGUUUAGGAUACUUGGAUGGUUCAAAUACAAAAAAAUCAUCAAGGACGGGUACUUUCUCUCUCAAAUUUGAUGCCCAAAAGGUAAGCAUAUGUUUUCAUGACUUUGUUAGAAAAAACAUACUUUAUACAACCUUCCGUCUAUUAAGGUGGUGUAUGGUUUUUAGGGCCUAAUUUUUAGUCCCUCAAGUAUUUGGUAAUUUAAAGACUAAAAUAAAAUAAAUUUAAGGGACUAAAAAUUAGUCCCAACAAAUCAAACACCCCUAACAUAUUUGGAUUUUUAAUUUUUAUUGCAGAAGAAAAAUGCUGCCAGAACAGACAAACAAGAUGGUGAGGAAACAUGGGCUUUAUCACGUUUUUUCCCACUUAUUGAGGCACGUGAUUACCAAUCUUUCCUUGUCUACGAUCCUUAGCGAUUUACAUCAAGAAUCACCUACCAUUCCUGAAACAAAAUGAAGCUAUUUUUUUAGUUUAUACCAUGUAUUUAGACCCUGUUGGGAUGAGCUCCCCCAAGCAUCCGGCAUUCCGGCACGCGCAGGGCCCCUCCCUCUGAGCUCCUCACCGUGAGCCUUCCGCUCGGCACCUCGCCUCCUCCUCGAGCUCUGUUCAACGCUCGGCCUCAACCCAGCGGAGCUCAACUCCAGGCGAGGCAGGGGGGGGGGGGGCGCGAUGUCGUGCUUCACCCAGCGAGGUCUCCACGCCUGGUGACCUGCUUCCGCGCCGCCCCAAGCUCCAGCCGCCAGCCCCGGAUUCGCGGCCACCAGCUCGCGACGGCGCCACUCCUUAGGCCGGCGCGGCCCCUCAUGCCGGCGUGCCUGCCACCAGCGGCGGCGCGGGCCUUCUCCCCUUCGCCUGCGCGGACGCACCCUUCUGCGCAGACAGCCUCCCCUCCACCGACGCCGACGACGCCACCUGGGCCGAACCUGACCUAAGCGGCACGACCGCGGCUCCCCUCACCUUUGGCGGUGCGCCUGCA